AGAAGGGCUGUGUCCACCAUGGCUCCUGUCCUCCUGCUGCUCCUCUCUCACUUCCCAGAAUGUUUCUGAAGUCUCAGGAAUGCUGAAAACAAAAACAAAAACCUCCUGAUACACUGCGGUGUUGCCCGGUUAUCUAGAUGAGCAAAACUCAGAGCCUGUGGAGUUGACUUUUUUAUUAUUAUUAUUUUUUGGAAGAAGAGAAAUGAGCCUUUCCUAGUUUUCUUUUCGGCCAGAGGCCGGAGACCAUUCAAGCAGGUAGACAGUCGCUACAGCAUGGACUACUGUCUUUGAGGGAUCAGAGCAGAAACCUCCUUGUCCCUCUCCAGUCACCUCCCUCCAACCCCGAUCAUCUGUGCUUGGGGCUGCCUGAGGCUCCCCGUGACCCAGGGAUGAGGCACUAAGGUGUGAAAUGAGUGAGGACACAGGUCCCAGGGGAGUUCCAGCGAAGAUGUGGCCAGAGUCACUCACAGGCGAAGACACAACCUGAAGUCUGCAGUCUGCCACACAGAAGACAGUCCUCACCAGGGCCCAACCAGGCUGGCACCCUGAUAUCCGACUUCCAGCCUCCAGAACUGGGAGAAAUACAAUUCUGUCUGCCCUGGGGAUGAGCUCCCCAGGCUAUGGCUCUUUGCUCUAACAGCCUGAACUAGCAUAGAAGUGCUAUCCCAUCAUCUGGGUUGUAUUCUAUUCAGAAAGGCGUCACUAACCCCUCAGUGCUGUGAUCCUUGCGGACGCUGCCCACCAUAGGCUGAGAUGAGGCACAGGGUCUGGUUCUAAAUAGAAUCAGAAGGCACUGGAAAGUGCAAUGUCAGAGGACGAUGAGGGCUGAAUUUCAUAUAAUCUCAGCCUCUACUGGUGCGCAUGGAAAACGAGGCCCAGAGCAAAAAUGCCUUUCUCGAGAUCACACUGUGGACCCCAAGCCCAUUGGAGUUGUAUUCCAUGCUACCUCUCACCCCUCACUUCUUCUUGAAAUUCUUCCAUCUCUAAGCGUGUGCAGUAUCUACAGGGGACACCAAACAAUGAGUUUUAUAAGAUUUAUCUCAAAGACACCUGAUGAGUUCACCAGGAAGGAGAUGCUAGCAAAACCCCAUUGUGCAUGUUGCAGGGCUGGGGAGGCCCCAAAACACCAGAAAACUUCUCUAGGGUCACAGAACUGGUAAGAUCAAGGAGGUUUGGCCCAGCACUGUCUCCUCAAACCUAGGGCCUUAGUUGCCUCCAGGUCUUCCCAGGGUGACGAGGGGGCACUUUUUUUGCAUAAUUUGGAACAGGUAAGAAGUUGGUAGGAACAGGUAAGAAUAGGGGGUUGGUGAGUGGUCAGAAGCCCAGUGGGGCCUUUGAGUAGGUCUUAUGGACGGAAGGAGCAUAGGGGAUUGGACCUGGAAGAAGUGAGUCUCCUCUCAGAUCCUGGGCCUUGUGAUGGGCUUUCUCCCACCCUGGAGUCUUCCGGCAUUUUCCCCCUGCCAAGGGCUGAAAUGGCCUUAGCUGUUUCUCCAGACUCCCUUUGAUGUUAAAGGAUGAAAUCCAAUUAUAUUCCUUUAAGUUAAAGCAUUCUUCUAAA
ensembl:lncRNA novel transcript